rnacentral:rRNA from 1 species
GAGUUUGAUCGUGGCUCAGAACGAACGCUGGCGGCAGGCUUAACACAUGCAAGUCGAACGCAUCGCAAGAUGAGUGGCAGACGGGUGAGUAACACGUGGGAACGUACCCUUUACUACGGAAUAACGCAGGGAAACUUGUGCUAAUACCGUAUGUGCCCCCCUUUGGUGGACAUUGGGGGGGGAAAGAUUUAUCGGUAAAGGAUCGGCCCGCGUUGGAUUAGCUAGUUGGUGGGGUAAAGGCCUACCAAGGCGACGAUCCAUAGCUGGUCUGAGAGGAUGAUCAGCCACAUUGGGACUGAGACACGGCCCAAACUCCUACGGGAGGCAGCAGUGGGGAAUAUUGGACAAUGGGCGCAAGCCUGAUCCAGCCAUGCCGCGUGAGUGAUGAAGGCCUUAGGGUUGUAAAGCUCUUUCACCGGAGAAGAUAAUGACGGUAUCCGGAGAAGAAGCCCCGGCUAACUUCGUGCCAGCAGCCGCUGU